GCCACAUGAUGCUAUAUUGAUUGCAUUAGCACUCUGCAAAGAUGACCAAUUAUCUAUCACCCUAGACUGAUGGCU